UACGUAGGGUGCGAGCGUUGUCCGGAAUUCUUGGGCGUAAAGGGCUCGUAGGCGGUUUGUCGCGUCGGGAGUGAAAACCUCGGGCUUAACUCGGGGCUUGCUUUCGAUACGGGCAGACUAGAGGUAUGCAGGGGAGAACGGAAUUCCUGGUGUAGCGGUGAAAUGCGCAGAUAUCAGGAGGAACACCGGUGGCGAAGGCGGUUCUCUGGGCCUUACCUGACACUGAGGAGCGAAAGCGUGGGGAGCGAACAGG
rnacentral:rRNA from 1 species